AAGGAGUGGAAUGAAAGUGAAGAAGAGGAGGAUGAUAUGAUACAUGCAACAUCAUCUACAUGUAGCCUUUUUUCGUUCUUCACGCAUCAUCAUCCUUCUUUUUCUUCUUUUUCUUUUUCUUCUUCUUCUU
rnacentral:ribozyme from 14 species